rnacentral:sRNA from 1 species
GCUGGGCGUAGUGGUGCAUACCUGUAAUCCCAGCAGCUCGGAGGCUGAGGCAGGAGGAUCAUGAGUUCAAAGUCAGCCUCAGGAAAAGCGAGGUGCUAAGCAACUCAGUGAGACCCUGUAUCUA